rnacentral:rRNA from 1 species
UCUUCCUACGGGGGGCAGCAGUGAGGAAUAUUGGUCAAUGGGAGGAAUCCUGAACCAGCCAUGCCGCGUGCAGGACGACGGCUCUACGAGUUGUAAACUGCUUUUGUACCGGGGUAAAAUGCCUUACGAGUAGGGUUUUGAAAGUACGGUACGAAUAAGGAUCGGCUAACUCCGUGCCAGCAGCCGCGGUAAUACGGAGGAUCCGAGCGUUAUCCGGAUUCAUUGGGUUUAAAGGGUGCGUAGGCGGAUCGUUAAGUCAGUGGUCAAAUUGAGGGGCUCAACCCCUUCCCGCCAUUGAAACUGGC